rnacentral:rRNA from 1 species
AGCAGCCGCGGUAAUUCCAGCUCCAAUAGCGUAUAUUAAAGUUGUUGCAGUUAAAAAGCUCGUAGUUGAAUUUCGGGAUUAGUAAGUUGGUCGUGCCUCUGGUAUGUACUGGCUUUACUGGUUCCUCCUUCUUGAAGAACUGUAAUGUCAUUAAUUUGGUGUUGCAGGGGAACAGGACUGUUACUUUGAAAAAUUAGAGUGUUUAAAGCAGGCUAACGCUUGAAUACAUUAGCAUGGAAUAAUGAAAUAGGACGUUUGAUUCCUAUUUUGUUGGUUUCUAGGAUUGACGUAAUGAUUAAUAGGGAUAGUUGGGGGCAUUAGUAUUCAAUUGUCAGAGGUGAAAUUCUUGGAUUUAUUGAAGACUAACUACUGCGAAAGCAUUUGCCAAGGAUGUUUUCAUUAAUCAAGAACGAAAGUUAGGGGAUCGAAGACGAUCAGAUACCGUCGUAGUCUUAACCAUAAACUAUGCCGACUAGGGAUCGGAUGAUGUUAAUUUUUAAUGUACUCAUUCGCGCCUUAC